rnacentral:tRNA from 1 species
GGGAGAGUGGUCUAGCUUGGUAUACAUGCGCGUUAAAACCAGGCAGUCGGGAGUUCGAAUCUCUCCUCUCCCACCA